AGAGUUUGAUCCUGGCUCAGAUUGAACGCUGGCGGAAUGCUUUACACAUGCAAGUCGAGCGGCAGCGCGGGGGCAACCCUGGCGGCGAGCGGCGAACGGGUGAGUAACAUAUCGGAACGUACCCUGUCGUGGGGGAUAACACAUCGAAAGGUGUGCUAAUACCGCAUACGACCUGAGGGUGAAAGCGGGGGAUCGCAAGACCUCGCGCGACAGGAGCGGCCGAUAUCGGAUUAGCUAGUUGGUGAGGUAAAGGCUCACCAAGGCGACGAUCCGUAGCGGGUCUGAGAGGACGACCCGCCACACUGGAACUGAGACACGGUCCAGACUCCUACGGGAGGCAGCAGUGGGGAAUUUUGGACAAUGGGGGCAACCCUGAUCCAGCCAUUCCGCGUGAGUGAAGAAGGCCUUCGGGUUGUAAAGCUCUUUCAGCAGGAACGAAACGGUGGCCCCUAAUACGGGCUACUAAUGACGGUACCUGAAGAAGAAGCACCGGCUAACUACGUGCCAGCAGCCGCGGUAAUACGUAGGGUGCGAGCGUUAAUCGGAAUUACUGGGCGUAAAGCGUGCGCAGGCGGUUCCAUAAGACAGAUGUGAAAUCCCCGGGCUUAACCUGGGAACUGCGUUUGUGACUGUGGGACUCGAGUGUGGCAGAGGGGGGUGGAAUUCCACGUGUAGCAGUGAAAUGCGUAGAGAUGUGGAGGAACACCGAUGGCGAAGGCAGCCCCCUGGGUCAACACUGACGCUCAUGCACGAAAGCGUGUGGAGCAAACAGGAUUAGAUACCCUGGUAGUCCACGCCCUAAACGAUGCGAACUAGGUGUUGGGGAAGGAGACUUUCUUAGUACCGCAGCUAACGCGUGAAGUUCGCCGCCUGGGGAGUACGGUCGCAAGAUUAAAACUCAAGGAAUUGACGG
rnacentral:rRNA from 1 species